UAAGGAAUAUUGCGCAAUGGGCGAAAGCCUGACGCAGCGACGCCGCGUGGGGGAUGAAGGUCUUCGGAUUGUAAACCCCUUUCGGGAGGGAAGAUGGAAUGGGGUAACCCAUUCGGACGGUACCUCCAGAAGCAGCCACGGCUAACUUCGUGCCAGCAGCCGCGGUAAUACGAAGGUGGCAAGCGUUGUUCGGAUUUACUGGGCGUACAGGGAGCGUAGGCGGUUCGGUAAGCCCUUUGUGAAAUCUCCAGGCUUAACCUGGAACAGUCGGAGGGGACGUGCUGGGCUAGAGGACGGGAGAGGAGCGCGGAAUUCCUGGUGUAGCGGUGAAAUGCGUAGAGAUCGGGAGGAAGGCCGGUGGCGAAGGCGGCGCUCUGGAACGUUUCUGACGCUGAGGCUCGAAAGCGUGGGGAGCAAACAGGAUUAGAUACCCACGUAGUCCCUGAGCGGGCUGGCAAGGCGCAU
rnacentral:rRNA from 1 species